rnacentral:lncRNA from 10 species
GUGAGUGGAUGGUGACACCAGGCCAGCUGGGGAUUCUUCCCAGGCUGGGCUCACAGGCUGGGGCUGGGCACACGGAGCAGCUGCGGGAAAAGGAUCUGGACACCAGCCCCCCAGCGUGUCACCGGCAGGAAGGUGAGGUGGGAACAGAGUGACGUCCAUGCAUGUUCAGAGACAAGGUUUCCCUACGUUGCCCAGACUGGUCUUGAACUCCUAGCCUCAAGCAGUCCUUCUGCCUCAGCCUCCCAAUGUGCUGGGAUUACAGGCAUGAGCCACUGCACUUGACCAAGGG